CAGGUUCUGAAAGCACGGCGGUGGUAAGUAUCGAUUUCUCCGGGACGCCAUCCAGUCGACGGUAAGCUCCGUGAGUCACCUCACCGUUCCUCUUUCAUAUUACAUCGAGAAGUACACCCUCAGCACUAGUAUAGUACAAGUGACUCAGUGAGUCACAGAGUCCGAGUCAAUAUAUCCGGCCACCCCUCUAAUUACUAAACGAAAACUAUACGCAUUACACCCGGGUAUACAAUUCGUCGCGAAAUCCAUCCGUAUUAAUACCGGAGACCAAUUACCACCCUUAGACUUUCUCAGGGGUCCGUGAUCAGGCGAAAUAAUUCGCCCAAGUUCGAUCGAGGAAAAGAAUGACUCAAUUAAAACUUACGUCGCUCUUUAUACUAGCAGCAAUGAAAUUAGACGUCAUCCGUUUGCCCGCAGAAGCUCGAACUUCGUGCACGAAACGAUUUAUGACUAGCCAAACAUUACGAAAGCUCGAUUAGCACGCGUAACUUAAUUCUUGCUAAUUCUUCGGCUUCCGUAUCCCGAUUCCUAAUAAAUGUAUUUUUGGGCUGUAGUUAGAAAUUGAAAAGAAUUAACCUUGAGUAAAAUUUGUUAUAAAAUUUUUUUUACAGACGGUCGAAAUUCUCGUGUCACUGAUGAAUGGGUAACUUGCUUGACCUUCGCGUUUAGCACUGGGAGAGUAUGAAAGUGUAGAAGGUUCCGGUAUGCAUUGCACAUAUUUAUGUGCGUGUGUGUGUGUGUCGUGGGAUCAACUACGCCUAGUACAUAAGCUCCAUUAGGGUUCAUUUCCCUAAUUGAUUAUACGGUAGGGUGACUGGUGACGAAUCCAGAGAUUUUAUAAUCAAACUCGAGGGUAAAGAAACCGCGUUUCGUAACUGCUAAGGUGAGAUGAAAACUGCAGGGAAUACUGAUAAUUCGUUGCAGUUAGACUCUGGCUUACCACCAACGUCAAUUUCCUGCUCGAGUGCUUCGAGAAUACGAUUCGUCAGUUUUUACAGCUGCAUGCGGCGAUAAUUUGAAGACCUGCUAGGCUGAUGUCUGCGCAUCGUCUUCCCUCUUACCGAAGAGCUCUUGGCUCGAUGAACGCCAGUCCGGAGUAUGAAAAGUGACAAUUGGACGAUCAGCUGAAUUUAACUUAGUGCUUACUCCAAGCUGCGGGCUUUUCAUAUCGAUCCAGCAGUACCUGGACGAUCAGCUAUAUACCGCAGACAAGGUGGUUCCCUUUCCUUGCUGGAUGUUAUGGAAGAGAGUUUUAAGCUCUUCAUGACAGCAUGUCACAGGUAUGUGCUGCAGGAAAGUCGGAUGAAAGAGCAAAACAUGGAGAAGGACACGCUGGGGGGCUGCCAAAUAUGGUCACUCGUCUUUCAGGUGAGCAAGACUCUCCAGAGAGCUCUGAUGCAGAGCUUGGUCGAACCCAGCCAACACCAAUCGCGCAACUCGAGCUUCGUCCCACAUCGAUAUCGGGCCCUCAAAGCUGCACGCCGUUAUACAUUCUGCACAAGUUCACCCGAUUUCGUUAUUGCUGAGGUUCUCGUCUAUGUGAGAAAUAAAAAUCUGCACUAUA